rnacentral:sRNA from 1 species
GCGAUGAGCUAAUUUGUGUAAGCCGACGGACAAGCUUCGUUUGGAUGUGGCCAAACGGUCCUUCGCCUCAAAACGCAUCAAAGACGCCCGGCUAUUGCCAGGCGUC